rnacentral:rRNA from 1 species
AGACGUCUACAUUAGACUACCCCUGUAGUCCCAGCCGUAAACUAUGCGCGUUAGGUGUAUCGGUGACCACGAGUUACCGAGGUGCCGAAGGGAAACCGUGAAACGUGCCGCCUGGGAAGUACGGUCGCAAGGCUGAAACUUAAAGGAAUUGGCGGGGAGCACCACAACGGGUGGAGCCUGCGGUUUAAUUGGACUCAACGCCGGGAAGCUCACCGGAUAAGACAGCGGAAUGAUUGCCGGGCUGAAGACUCUGCAUGACUAGCUG